UGCAAGUUCUAGCCAGUGUGGUUUC
rnacentral:piRNA from 1 species